rnacentral:rRNA from 1 species
UACGGGGGGAGCAAGCGUUGUUCGGAUUUACUGGGCGUAAAGGGCGCGUAGGCGGUCGUGACAAGUCACUUGUGAAAUCUCCGGGCUUAACUCGGAAAGGUCAACUGAUACUGUGCGACUAGAGUGCAGAAGGGGCAACUGGAAUUCUCGGUGUAGCGGUGAAAUGCGUAGAUAUCGAGAGGAACACCUGCGGCGAAGGCGGGUUGCUGGGCUGACACUGACGCUGAUGCGCGAAAGCGUGGGGAGCGAACAGG